rnacentral:rRNA from 1 species
UGGAGAGUUUGAUCCUGGCUCAGAUUGAACGCUGGCGGCAGGCCUAACACAUGCAAGUCGAGCGGUAGCACAGAGAGCUUGCUCUCGGGUGACGAGCGGCGGACGGGUGAGUAAUGUCUGGGAAACUGCCUGAUGGAGGGGGAUAACUACUGGAAACGGUAGCUAAUACCGCAUAACGUCUUCGGACCAAAGUGGGGGACCUUCGGGCCUCAUGCCAUCAGAUGUGCCCAGAUGGGAUUAGCUAGUAGGUGGGGUAAAGGCUCACCUAGGCGACGAUCCCUAGCUGGUCUGAGAGGAUGACCAGCCACACUGGAACUGAGACACGGUCCAGACUCCUACGGGAGGCAGCAGUGGGGAAUAUUGCACAAUGGGCGCAAGCCUGAUGCAGCCAUGCCGCGUGUAUGAAGAAGGCCUUCGGGUUGUAAAGUACUUUCAGCGAGGAGGAAGGUGUUGUGGUUAAUAACCRCAGCAAUUGACGUUACUCGCAGAAGAAGCACCGGCUAACUCCGUGCCAGCAGCCGCGGUA